UACGGGGGGGCAAGCGUUGUUCGGAAUUACUGGGCGUAAAGGGCUCGUAGGCGGCCAACUAAGUCCGACGUGAAAUCCCCAGCUUAACCUGGGAACUGCGUCGGAUACUGGAUGGCUUGAAUUCGGGAGAGGGAUGCAGAAUUCCAGGUGUAGCGGUGAAAUGCGUAGAUAUUGGGAAGAACACCGAUGGCGAAGGCAGCCAUCUGGACCGACACUGACGCUGAGGAGCGAAAAGCCGGGAGGGAGCAA
rnacentral:rRNA from 1 species